UAUGGUCAUUUCACUUUGAAACAUCGGAUCCCGAACGAUCAGCGAAGUUAAGCAAUGUCGAGCCUGGUCAGUACCUAGAUAGGUGACCGUUUGGGAAUAUUAGGUGCUGUAAG